AGGACGAACGCUGGCGGCGUGCUUAACACAUGCAAGUCGAGCGGUAAGGCCCUUUCGGGGGUACACGAGCGGCGAACGGGUGAGUAACACGUGAGCAAUCUGCCCUUCACUUCGGGAUAAGCCUCGGAAACGGGGUCUAAUACCGGAUAUGACUGCGCCAUGCAUGUGGUGUGGUGGAAAGUUCUGGCGGUGAGGGAUGAGCUCGCGGCCUAUCAGCUUGUUGGUGGGGUAAUGGCCUACCAAGGCUUCGACGGGUAGCCGGCCUGAGAGGGUGACCGGCCGACACGUGGGACUGAGACACGGGCCCAGACUCCGUACGGGAGGCAGCGAGGUGGGGAAUAGUUGGACAAGUGGG
rnacentral:rRNA from 1 species